UACGUAGGGUGCGAGCGUUGUCCGGAAUUAUUGGGCGUAAAGAGCUUGUAGGCGGUUUGUCGCGUCUGCUGUGAAAAUCCGGGGCUCAACCCCGGACUUGCAGUGGGUACGGGCAGACUAGAGUGUGGUAGGGGAGACUGGAAUUCCUGGUGUAGCGGUGGAAUGCGCAGAUAUCAGGAGGAACACCGGUGGCGAAGGCGGGUCUCUGGGCCAUUACUGACGCUGAGGAGCGAAAGCGUGGGGAGCGAACAGG
rnacentral:rRNA from 1 species